GGAUGAACGCUGGCGGCGUGCUUAACACAUGCAAGUCGAACGGGAAAUAUUUCAUUGAGACUUCGGUGGAUUUGAUUUAUUUCUAGUGGCGGACGGGUGAGUAACGCGUGGGUAACCUGCCUUAUACAGGGGGAUAACAGUCAGAAAUGGCUGCUAAUACCGCAUAAGCGCACAGAGCUGCAUGGCUCAGUGUGAAAAACUCCGGUGGUAUAAGAUGGACCCGCGUUGGAUUAGCUAGUUGGUGGGGUAACGGCCCACCAAGGCGACGAUCCAUAGCCGGCCUGAGAGGGUGAACGGCCACAUUGGGACUGAGACACGGCCCAGACUCCUACGGGAGGCAGCAGUGGGGAAUAUUGCACAAUGGGGGAAACCCUGAUGCAGCGACGCCGCGUGAAGGAAGAAGUAUCUCGGUAUGUAAACUUCUAUCAGCAGGGAAGAUAGUGACGGUACCUGACUAAGAAGCCCCGGCUAACUACGUGCCAGCAGCCGCGGUAAUACGUAGGGGGCAAGCGUUAUCCGGAUUUACUGGGUGUAAAGGGAGCGUAGACGGACGGGCAAGUCUGAUGUGGAAGCCCGGGGCU
rnacentral:rRNA from 1 species